rnacentral:rRNA from 1 species
GAUGAACGCUGGCGGCGUGCCUAAUACAUGCAAGUCGAGCGAACAGACGAGGAGCUUGCUCCUCUGACGUUAGCGGCGGACGGGUGAGUAACACGUGGAUAACCUACCUAUAAGACUGGGAUAACUUCGGGAAACCGGAGCUAAUACCGGAUAAUAUAUUGAACCGCAUGGUUCAUUAGUGAAAGACGGUUUUGCUGUCACUUAUAGAUGGAUCCGCGCCGCAUUAGCUAGUUGGUAAGGUAACGGCUUACCAAGGCAACGAUGCGUAGCCGACCUGAGAGGGUGAUCAGCCACACUGGAACUGAGACACGGUCCAGACUCCUACGGGAGGCAGCAGUAGGGAAUAUUCCGCAAUGGGCGAAAGCCUGACGGAGCAACGCCGCGUGAGUGAUGAAGGUCUUCGGAUCGUAAAACUCUGUUAUUAGGGAAGAACAAAUGUGUAAGUAACUAUGCACGUCUUGACGGUACCUAAACAGAAAGCCACGGCUAACUACGUG